CUGGGCCCGGGGUGGCCCUGCUCGCAUUGAUGCCGGGAUGCCAUUGCUCUUCCGCCCUCCUGGCUCACGUCCACUCCAGGCUUUGGGAUCCCAUGCUACAACAUGGAGUUUCCCAAACUUUUUCACAACCUGGCACAGAGUAUGAAAAAAUGUCACACUGGAAUGACUAGUUAAGACCACUGCAGUGGGAAUCACCACCUUGCACCUCCAGCCCCUUAAGGCUAAAGGGCAAUUGUUUUUGAGGAUGCAGUAACACAGAGAACCAAGGACAAAAGCAGUUCAUAAAUUCAGGUUUGUCUAAAGGCAACAGUUCUGCAGUGGAAAAAAUUUUGAGGAGCAAUGAUGAGCCUUCUGAUGCGAGUA